rnacentral:rRNA from 1 species
UAGGGAAUCUUCGGCAAUGGGGGCAACCCUGACCGAGCAACGCCGCGUGAGUGAAGAAGGUUUUCGGAUCGUAAAGCUCUGUUGUAAGUCAAGAACGAGUGUGAGAGUGGAAAGUUCACACUGUGACGGUAGCUUACCAGAAAGGGACGGCUAACUACGUGCCAGCAGCCGCGGUAAUACGUAGGUCCCGAGCGUUGUCCGGAUUUAUUGGGCGUAAAGCGAGCGCAGGCGGUUUGAUAAGUCUGAAGUUAAAGGCUGUGGCUCAACCAUAGUUCGCUUUGGAAACUGUCAAACUUGAGUGCAGAAGGGGAGAGUGGAAUUCCAUGUGUAGCGGUGAAAUGCGUAGAUAUAUGGAGGAACACCGGUGGCGAAAGCGGCUCUCUGGUCUGUAACUGACGCUGAGGCUCGAAAGCGUGGGGAGCGAACAGGAUUAGAUACCCUGGUAGUCCACGCCGUAACGAUGAGUGCUAGGUGUUGGAUCCUUUCCGGGAUUCAGUGCCGCAGCUAACGCAUUAAGCACUCCGCCUGGGGGGGUACGACCGCAAGGUUG